UUAACUUUAAUCUCUUGUUUGACAGCGGUGGCUGACGGAGCAGAGAGCCCAGUGUCCACACUGUCGAGCUCCGCUCCAGCUGAGGGAGCUGGUGAACUGUCGCUGGGCAGAGGAGGUGACCCAGCAGCUGGACACCCUGCAGCUGUGCAGCCUCACCAAGCACGAGGACAACGACAAGGACAAAUGUGAUAACCACCGUGAGAAGCUGAGUGUUUUCUGUUGGACCUGUAAGAAAUGCAUCUGUCACCAGUGUGCUCUGUGGGGAGGCAUGGUAACGUUUCACAUCUUUU